GUGCUGGCUUCAGCAGCAUGUAUACUAAAAUUGGAACAAUAUAGAAAAGAUAAGCAUGGCCCCUGCACAAGUAUAACAUGCAAAUUCAUGAAGCAUUCCAUAUUUUU
ensembl:snRNA Gm24035 predicted gene, 24035